rnacentral:rRNA from 1 species
UACGUAGGGUGCGAGCGUUAAUCGGAAGUACUGGGCGUAAAGCGUGCGCAGGCGGUUUUGUAAGCCAGAUGUGAAAUCCCCGGGCUUAACCUGGGAAUGGCAUUUGGGACUGCAAGGCUGGAGUAUGGCAGAGGGGACUAGAAUUCCUGGUGUAGCAGUGAAAUGCGUAGAUAUCAGGAGGAAUACCGAUGGCGAAGGCAGGUCCCUGGGCCAAUACUGACGCUCAUGCACGAAAGCGUGGGGAGCAAACAGG